rnacentral:rRNA from 1 species
GACAGCAGUAGCCGCGGUAAUACGUAGGUCCCGAGCGUUGUCCGGAUUUAUUGGGCGUAAAGCGAGCGCAGGCGGUUAGAUAAGUCUGAAGUUAAAGGCUGUGGCUUAACCAUAGUACGCUUUGGAAACUGUUUAACUUGAGUGCAAGAGGGGAGAGUGGAAUUCCAUGUGUAGCGGUGAAAUGCGUAGAUAUAUGGAGGAACACCGGUGGCGAAAGCGGCUCUCUGGCUUGUAACUGACGCUGAGGCUCGAAAGCGUGGGGAGCAAACAGGAUUAGAGACCCCUGUAGUCCCUGUCUCUUAUACA